AGCAUCUGCUGAUCCUGAGCUGU
rnacentral:miRNA from 1 species